rnacentral:rRNA from 1 species
UGGGGAAUUUUGGACAAUGGGCGAAAGCCUGAUCCAGCAAUGCCGCGUGUGUGAAGAAGGCCUUCGGGUUGUAAAGCUCUGUCUUUUGGGACGAUAAUGACGGUACCAAAGGAGGAAGCCACGGCUAACUACGUGCCAGCAGCCGCGGUAAUACGUAGGUGGCAAGCGUUGUCCGGAUUUACUGGGCGUAAAGGAUGCGUAGGCGGAUUUUUAAGUGAGAUGUGAAAACCCUAAGCUUAACUUGGGGACUGCAUUUCAUACUGGAAAUCUAGAGUGCGGGAGAGGAGAAUGGAAUUCCUAGUGUAGCGGUGAAAUGCGUAGAGAUUAGGAAGAACACCAGUGGCGAAGGCGAUUCUCUGGACCGUAACUGACGCUGAGGCAUGAAAGCGUGGGUAGCAAACAGGAUUAGAUACCCUGGUAGUCCACGCCGUAAACGAUGAGUACUAGGUGUAGGAGGUAUCGACCCCUUCUGUGCCGCAGUUAACACAAUAAGUACUCCGCCUGGGAAGUACGAUCGCAAGAUUAAAACUCAAAUGAAUUGACGGGGUC